rnacentral:rRNA from 1 species
GACGAACGCUGGCGGCGUGGAUUAGGCAUGCAAGUCGAACGGUAUCAUCCUUUCGGGGGUGAGAGAGUGGCGAACUGGUGAGUAACACGUAGGUUAUCUACCCUCAAGACGGGGACAACCCAGGGAAACUUGGGCUAAUACCGGAUGUGAGCAACUUUUAGUUGUUUGAAAGGUGGCGUAAGCUGUCGCUUGGGGAUGAGCCUGCGUCCUAUUAGUUAGUUGGUGAGGUAACGGCUCACCUAGGCAAUGAUAGGUAGGCGGCCUUAACGGGUGGUCGCCCACACUGGGAUUGAGAUACGGCCCAGACUCCUACGGGAGGCAGCAGUCGAGAAUAGUCUACAAUGGUCGGAAGACUGAUAGUGCGACGCCGCGUGAACGAUGAAUCCCUUCGGGGUGUAAAAGUUCUUUUAUAUGUGAGCAGUGCUUCUUAUAUUAACAGUAUGGGGAAGAGAUAUUAGCAUAUGAAUAAGCAACGGCUAACUCCGUGCCAGCCAGCCGCGGUAAA